AGUUUGAUUAUGGCUCAGAUUGAACGCUGGCGGGAUGCUUUACACAUGCAAGUCGAACGGCAGCACGGACUUCGGUCUGGUGGCGAGUGGCGAACGGGUGAGUAAUGUAUCGGAACGUGCCUAGUAGCGGGGGAUAACUACGCGAAAGCAAGACAACAAAUAUUGCCUCCGGGGAAAGCGGGGACCUUUCGGGCCUCGCACUAUUAGAGCGGCCGAUAUCGGAUUAGCUAGUUGGUGGGGUAACGGCUCACCAAGGCGACGAUCCGUAGCUGGUUUGAGGACGACCAGCCACACUGGGACUGGAGAUGACGCCCAGACUCCCACGGGAGGCAGCAGUGGGGAAUUUUGGACAAUUUUGGGGAAACCUGAUCCAGCCAUCCCGCGUGUGCGAUGAAGGCCUUCGGGUUGUAAAGCACUUUUGGCAGGGAGAAGAAACGGCACGGGAUAAUACUCCGUGCAACUGACGGUACCCGCAGAAUAAGCACCGGCUAACUACGUGCCAGCAGCCGCGGUAAUACGUAGGGUGCAAGCGUUAACGGAAUUACACGCGGAAAGCGUACAGGGCGGUUCGAAAGGCAUGCAAAUCCGCAGAUUUCAAUUUGGAACUGCAUUUUUAACCACUUGUCAGGAGGUGUCAGAGGGAGGUGGAAUUCCGCGUGUAGCAGUGAAAUGCGUAGAUAUGCGUGGAGGAACAACGACGGCGAAGGCAGCCUCCUCGGGAUAACACUGACGCUCAUGCACAGCAAAAAUGUGGGGAGCAAACAGGAUUAGAUGUUCUGGUAGUCCACGCCCUAAACGAUGUCAACUAGCUGUUGGGGCCUCGGCCUUCGGUAGCGCAGCUAACGCAAAGAAGUGACCGCCCAGGGCAUGGUCGCAAGAUUAAAACUCAAAGAAUUGAUUUGGAUCUGCAGCACAAGCGGUGGAUGAUGUGACAGCCUGAUGCAACGCGGAAAACUCAUUCACCUUUGACAUAGUUCAAACCUGAAGAGGAUUUGGAGUGCGCUCGUGAAGAGAACCGGAACAGAGGUGCUGCAGCGGCUGCCGUCAGCCCGCCAGGCCGUGGAGAUGUUGAGCAAGUCCCAACGAGCGCAACCUUGUCAUUAGUUGCUACGAAAGGGCACUCCACGAGACUGCUGCACAAACCCGGAGGAAGUGCGGGGAUGAUUUUCGCUUCAAGCCCUGCUGGCCUUAUGGGUAGGCUUCGCACGUCAUACAAUGGUCGGGAUUGAGGUCGCCAACCCGCGAGGGGAGCCAAUCCCAGAACCCGAUCGUAGUCCGGAUCGCAGUCUGCAACUCGACUGCGUGAAGUCGGAAUCGCUAUAACUGUGAUCAGCACGUCGCGUGAAUACGUUCCUGGGUCUGCAGGCUACACCGCCCGUCACACCAUGGGAGUGGGUUUUACCAGAAGCGGAAGUUAGCCUAACCGUAAGGAGGGUGAUUUACCACGAGAUUCGCGAUCAAAGUAAGUCGUAUCAGCAG
rnacentral:rRNA from 1 species